GUGUCACCAACCUCAUCCUGUCUCGGGCAAAUGCCCUGGUGACGUCGGACGUUGCACAAGACCUAAGAAACAUGUCAUCGCGUCACCGCUGACCUUCGUGCAGUCCUCCUUGUGCUUUCGGUACAUGAGGGCAUAGCACCAGCCUGCCUUGGCUUGGCUGACUACUUGCGCUCACUGGAAAGCCAUUGCAAGGAUGCCCUGUCCAAGGCUGAGAAAGAAACGGGAAACGGUGAAAGUGAUGCUCAUCCCGAGAGUCCGCCUGCAAAGAAGCCCAGGAGUCCACCCGCAGACGACGAAAGACCAACCGGCCCGCGUUCUCCGCCGGAGCCACCUCCACCUCCAGCACCGAGCGAGGUGGACCUGCUGCGUCCGCUGCUCGAGACGGUCCAAGCCCUUCUCAAGCUGCUCCCCAGUGGAGAACAGUCCUCAGCCUCUUCCUAGCAUCUUCUCCUCUAGUCUGGCUGUUAAUUUUUUUUUUUUUUUUUUUCAUUUUAUUUUGGGAAUGCUGAGUGGCCAGCGUAAGGCAGCGAGCUUUCAGCAGUCAUAAGGGGAAGGCUAGAAAAUUGAGUCUACGGAAGGAGAGAUAGCUAUUACUACACUUCUCGGCAGGGUCGGGUCUCCUUGCUGCCAGCUCAACAACGGCGGAGGUGGCGGCGUGGACCCACCCACUGUUGCUGCUGCUGCUUUUGGGUUUCCUGGGUUCACUCCCAACAAACGUGGCGGCGUGCGGUGUACUGCCGACGAUGAAGAGGAAUGCGGGGUUGGUGCAACAGUUCCCUGCCACAGACCCACUCCCGAUUUAUUUCAUAAAUCGGCGCAGAAAUCCUCGCCGCCUACCAUGGCAACCGCCAGUUUUGAGAGAGAAUUUUUUUGCCACACGACACUUCAGCUGUGAUACUUUAGUCUUGGGUGAAAGCUUGCUUGCCACUGUUUUUCAUUCUUCCACGCUCAGUUGUUGUUUCUUUCCUCCGUUUUUUUAUUUGAUGUCUGAACUGUAAAUGUCUCUCAGUACAGACCCCCCUCCCCCCCUUUUUUUCCCUGCAUCUCAUGCUCGUCUUCUCUGGAACCCUGCAGCUUUGCAUAUCCUCAUUUCAUCAAACCAAACCACAACAACAUUUUGCUUGACGCGAUGCAGAUCGGUGGUGGGCGUUUUCAACCCGAGAAGAAAGAGGGAAGAAGGAGAUGAGUUUGCCAGAGCACAGCGUUUGCUUGGCUUGUACAUUUAGUUUUAUAUUUUGUUUGCCCGUGAGUGCAAGGCACAGUUCGCUCCUUUUACGAAUGGUGCCAGCCCGAAGCCGGCAGCGCUUGGGGGCGGUCGGCACUGCCGACAGUCAUCGAGCUUUCCAGUCGACCAGCGGCACGACACGUGUUUGCUGGGUUGGGAGAGGGAGAGAGAAAGAAAUCAGCGACAUAAAUUUUGACCUUGCAAGAAAGACACCCUUUUUUUUAUUCCUGUUUGUGUUAUUUAUUGCCAUGUGUGUAUACGCGACUCGCUGAUAUUGAAAGAUGGAAGAGAAGUGUUUGUUAGCGGUGUCUGGCAAGGCGUGUGUGCAUGUGUGUGACUUUGGGAGUUAUCUUGUGCCCCAAUUUCUUCUACUUUGGCGGUGUUUCUUAGAGGCAACUGUUCUUUUUCUUCAAUGAGGGCUACAGAGAGAGAGAAGCGCAUGUCAUUAUAAUCGCGGCACACCACUGCUGCCAAUCAACGUCCACACCCUGUGUAGGUGGGAAGCACUUUUUUUUUAAUAU